rnacentral:misc_RNA from 1 species
GUUCACUCGCCUUGAAUUGAUAACCUCUGCUUCAACAGUGUAACAUCUAAAUCCACCAGCGAAAGUCGUCGCUGCCACACUUUUCUUGCAGGCAAGACUAGCAGGUCUCCAUCUCCGUUGCAAUCCUCACUAUUUUUCUUUCCUCUUUCUUCAACCUCCACAAAAUUAGUAACCCUAAGUCGAAACACCACCGACGGCCUCUGUGAGCCACCAGGGGCCGCCUCUCUUCUCCAUCCUCUCCGUCGUACCAACAAACCAUCUCUCCGCCUUUCGUUCGGGUGAAAAAAGAUCAGUGUCGCCUCUCUCUCUUACUCCAGUUUAAAACACUAGACUCCGACGAUCACCACCAUAAUAUCAACUUCGCUUUAUCCCUUCAGUAAUAACAACUUGAAAUGUGACGAUAAAGAGGUGUUCAUAUCCUGCUAAAGGUGAUAAUAAGUGUAUAGAAGAAGGAAAAAGGGGUUGGGGCAGGA